CAGUCGCCGCGGGAAUACAGAGGGUGCGAGCGUUAAUCGGAUUUACUGGGCGUAAAGCGUGCGUAGGCGGCUUUUUAAGUCGGAUGUGAAAUCCCUGAGCUUAACUUAGGAAUUGCAUUCGAUACUGGGAAGCUAGAGUAUGGGAGAGGAUGGUAGAAUUCCAGGUGUAGCGGUAAAAUGCGUAGAGAUCUGGAGGAAUACCGAUGGCGAAGGCAGCCAUCUGGCCUAAUACUGACGCUGAGGUACGAAAGCAUGGGGAGCAAACAGGAUUAGAUACCCCCGUAGUCCCUGUCUCUUAUAC
rnacentral:rRNA from 1 species